UAACACACACAACUACACACAAUAUACAUAACAACUACACAAUAAUACACACAGUGUGUAGUUGGUACUUUUUGAGUCGUUUGAAAGAAACUGAAUUUAAUUUAGUUUUAAUUUGGUGAAACUGCUUCCUGCUGCCUCUGCAGGUUUGAUUCCCGUAACCACGGCAACAACACAGGAGGCAACUUCACAAGGUCACACAAUGUACACAACAGCUACACACAACAAUACACACACAGUGAAGGGGGGAGAAAGGGAGGGGGCAACAUGCAGCAACGGGUCGAUGACGGAAUCAAACCUGUGGCCGCUGCGGCAAAGAUACAGUCUGUAUAAGAGCCGCCGCUCUAUCCACUGAGCCACCAGGCGCAUCAGUUACAUUUGUUUUAAUUUGGUAAAUCGAUCUGUCUCCUGUUUCCUCUGCAGGUUUGAGUCCCAUAACCAUGGUAACAACACAGAGGGCAACUUCACAAGACACUCGAACAACUCGAUGGACGACUCGAGGAUCUCUCCUCUCCUGUUCCUGUUCCCCCUGGACCGAGAGUGAGACCUCACCUGUCAUACACCUGUAACGCACCUGUCUCACCUGUCACACACCUGACUCACCUGUCAUGCACCUGUAACACACCUGUCUCACCUGUCACACACCUAACUCACAUGUCACGCACCUGUCACACACCUAACUCACAUGUCACGCACCUGUAACACAACUGUCUCACCUGUCACACACCUAACUCACAUGUCACACACCUGUCAUACAUCUGACUCCCCUGUCACACCUGCAUCACCUGACUCACAUGUCACACCUGUAACAUACCUGACUCACGUCACACACCUGUAAUAUAUCUGACUCACAUGUUACACCUAUCACACACCUCACCUGUAACGCCUGACUCACCUGUCACACCUGACACAGGCCUGUCUCACCUGAUUCUACCUGUCUGUCCCCCAGUGUCUCACCUGUCACUAUCUGUCUCUGCUUCAGUAUCCCACCUGUCUCUACCUGUCUGUCCUGCACUGUCUCACCUGUAUUUACCCGUCUGUCCCCCAGCCUGUCCUCGGUGACGUACUAUGGCAGCAGGUGUGUUCUCCCCACCUGUCUCACGGUGAACCUCGGCUCCUCCAUGCAGGGCGGGGACGAGAUGGCUGGCGGCGC